UGAAAUAUAUCACAUAUGGUGUCUUUUUUCAUAUUAUAUUGUAUUUUCACAUCAAAUAAUAGAAAUAAUUUGAAUGAAAGCUGUAUUUAUCAAAAGAAAGAUCGCAAGCGGAGUUUAAGCUCCGCCCACUGUUUACCUUAUUUGGAAAAUCUAUGUAGCCGAGAAGCUUGCAGUUUGCAAGUCUGUUAAUUGAAGAUAAUUGAAGCAGCCUGACACUUGUUAGUUGAUAUUUAAACGACCUGGUUGAAGAAACUAAUGAGAAAAAAUGGAAAAUUUAUUCAAUAUGAUCCAAUGUCUGGGCAAAAUGGUGUAAUGUAUCGCUUUCAGCUUGCCUGAGAAUUACAGGACUGAAGUAACAGUAUGGCAUUCAAGCUUUGAUGAAAUAUAAAGUAAUGGUUUGAAUUUGGGAUCUUUAUUAUAGACAGGGAUGAAGACCUUAAUAGACCUGCAGUCAGCUGACACCAGUUAAAAGUUGCUUAUAACUCAUCAUGGCCAUUACCAUGAUUAUGGAAGAUGUGAUAAAAAUGUGUUUAGAAAGCUACCAAAUAUGUUUGUGAAAAAAAGACAGCUAUUCUACAUAAUGUACCAUUCUAAGCAGAAGCAUUGACAGUUUCAAGACCAAAUGAAUUGGAAUUUAGUGUUUUGAUGCUGAAAAACCGAGGAAUAUUAAUUGGACAAUUUAACUUCUUUUUCAUCAUUAUUGAAGUUGAUGUUGUUAUCUCAGUUAAAAUGAUGUCCAAAUAUACAUAAUGGCAGUUCAGAGAUUUGUGAAUAUUCUUAGAAUAGGAGCUGCAAAAAGGA